GUGUGUCUCGCGCCCCCAUCUUAAUUAAACGCGGCGUUUUAGGGUGGUGUGGGGGGGGGGAGGGAGGGCGAUAAAAAACGGGGCGUCUUUCACAACCCCCCCAAAGGGGGCACCAAAUGCGCAUGUGGUCGUUUGAGGGGCCCCACCCCUCUGGAGAAGGAGGGGUUGAUUUCGAGCCCCCCCACACCCUGGGGGGAACUUUGAGAAACCACCGGGGCCCCCCAAAACUUUCCCUUUACGGGGGGGGGGCCAGCCCCAGUUUAGGGGGAAAUUUUUCCCCCCAAUGGAAGGAAAGGUCUGACGGAGGAAAACCGGCCGCGUUGAGAUGAUGAAGGGCUUUUCGGGUCGUAAAACUUUGUUUGUUAGGGAAGAAGACCAAGUUGCUUAAGUGGAAUAAGGCUGGGCCACCCUUGGACGGGUACCUUAACCCAGAAAAGCCCAACGCGCCAACUACGUGCCAGCAGCCGCGGUAUUACGUAGGUGGCCAGCGUUUUCUCGGAAUUAUUGGGCGUAAAGCGCGCGCAGGUGGUUUCUUAAGUCUGAUGUGAAAGCCCACGGCUCAACCGUGGAGGGUCAUUGGAAACUGGGAGACUUGAGUGCAGAAGAGGAAAGUGGAAUUCCAUGUGUAGCGGUGAAAUGCGUAGAGAUAUGGAGGAACACCAGUGGCGAAGGCGACUUUCUGGUCUGUAACUGACACUGAGGCGCGAAAGACGUGGGGAGCAAACAGGAUUAGAUACCCUGGUAGUCCACGCCGUAAACGAUGAGUGCUAAGUGUUAGAGGGUUUCCGCCCUUUAGUGCUGAAGUUAACGCAUUAAGCACUCCGCCUGGGGAGUACGGCCGCAAGGCUGAAACUCAAAGGAAUUGACGGGGGCCCGCACAAGCGGUGGAGCAUGUGGUUUAAUUCGAAGCAACGCGAAGAACCUUACCAGGUCUUGACAUCCUCUGACAACCCUAGAGAUAGGGCUUCUCCUUCGGGAGCAGAGUGACAGGUGGUGCAUGGUUGUCGUCAGCUCGUGUCGUGAGAUGUUGGGUUAAGUCCCGCAACGAGCGCAACCCUUGAUCUUAGUUGCCAUCAUUUAGUUGGGCACUCUAAGGUGACUGCCGGUGACAAACCGGAGGAAGGUGGGGAUGACGUCAAAUCAUCAUGCCCCUUAUGACCUGGGCUACACACGUGCUACAAUGGACGGUACAAAGAGCUGCAAGACCGCGAGGUGGAGCUAAUCUCAUAAAACCGUUCUCAGUUCGGAUUGUAGGCUGCAACUCGCCUACAUGAAGCUGGAAUCGCUAGUAAUCGCGGAUCAGCAUGCCUGCGGUUCCCACC
rnacentral:rRNA from 1 species